GCACUGCUGAUGAGACCCAAACAGGUCGAAACAGCUGUCCAGUGC
rfam:Echinostoma caproni strain Egypt genome assembly, scaffold: ECPE_scaffold0012229